rnacentral:lncRNA from 1 species
CUUCAACCCCUCCACUGCACCACCAAGGAAGAACACACAGACACAGCAACAAUGGGUUAGGGAAAGAGUACUCUAGCUUCAGGCACAGACAGCCAUGACGACAGCCAUGACGACAGCCAUGACGACAGCCAUGACGACAGCCAUGACGACAGCCAUGACGACAGCCAUGACAUAUCAGGCGUAAACAUAUCAGACCAAAGCAUAUAAGAUGAUUAGGAUCCUGGAGUGGGGAAUUCUGUGAGGGGUGCUAACUUCAUGAUCUGGUAACUCUUCCGAAGGGUCGCCAGUAGGAGGGAGUAUGGACUAAUUUAGAAAAUGGUUAUAGCAG